rnacentral:lncRNA from 1 species
GUCAGAAAGUCAAGGCAGAAUCGUCUGAGUCAGAGCCUGUUGUUAAAGCUCUAAAAAGUGUGUUCAAAUUCCUGGCUGGAGAUCUAAGAAGAGAGGAAGGAGCACAUUCAGAACUGGGGGUCACAGAAGAAACUUUAAGCCGAAAGGAGCCCUAGUGUGUGGAAUGGCACUUGCAGGAAGCAGCUGGCAUUAGGAUCAUUUAUCAUCUGUUGUCAGUGCUGUUCUCUGACCUGGAGCUUGGAGGCCCGGCUAUUGUAAACCCACAGAAGAAAACUCAAAACUUAUGCAGAAUUAUUGAUUGUUUUCUCCACCCAGAAGAAAUUGUUUUUCCUGGAAAGUCAGCCAUAUGGUGCCACAGAGGUGGAAGGCACCACACCCCUCUAAGGAAUGCUCCACUUCUGACCAACUCCUUUCACAUCGGCAACUGUUGCCACGGUUCUUGUCUGAGACCCCAGAGAGCUGUUCUGAAUUGUCUCUUGGAUUCAUCCGGGCACCCUUCCA